rnacentral:lncRNA from 1 species
GUGCUAUUCCUCAAGGAAGUAGCAGGGAAGAGUGGCUUCAAGCACUUCCUCGAGCACUAGUUGCGGGUUUUGUGAAAACUGAUAUAGAGUUUCAGCAAAAAGGCAUGCUCCUAGCUCUAUGCCUUUGAUGACUUUUUGCUUCAAGGAGUGUCUUUCCCUUGCUUCAGUCGUUUAGGUGUUCUUAGUUCAAUUUUGAUGUCAUUGACAGGUGAGACAUACCUUGGAUAACUUUUUUCUUCAAGGGGUAUCUUUCCCUUGCUUCGGUUGUUUAGGUUACUUAGUUCAAUUUUGAUAUCAUUGACAGGUGAGACAUCUGGGACUACUGUGACGUUUGUUGUGAUUGAUGGGUGGACGAUUACUGUUGCAUCAGUUGGAGAUUCUAGGUGCAUAUUGGAUACCCAAGGAGGUGUGGUUUCUUUGUUGACUGUUGAUCAUCGAUUAGAAGAGAAUGAGGAGGAACGGGAGCGUGUCACUGCAAGUGGUGGUGAAGUAGGAAGGCUCAAUGUUUUUGGGGGUAACGAGGUAAAAACAUCCAUCGGUUAGAAGAGAAUGAGGAGGAACGGGAGCGUGUUACUGCAAGUGGUGGUGAAGUAGGAAGGCUCAAUGUUUUUGGGGGUAACGAGGUAAAAACAUACAAGAAAAUUGUGUAAAAUUGUAAUCUUAUUUUUGCUAACAGCUUCAGAAAAGAUAUACU